rnacentral:rRNA from 1 species
GUCCACGCCCUAAACGAUGAUUACUCGACAUUAGCGAUACUACUGUUAGUGUCUAAGCGAAAGCAUUAAGUAAUCCACCUGGGAAGUACGACCGCAAGGUUGAAACUCAAAGGAAUUGGCGGGGGUCCGCACAAGUGGUGGAGCAUGUGGUUUAAUUCGAUGAUACGCGAGGAACCUUACCUGGGCUAGAAUGCAUUUUGACCGCAGGUGAAAGCCUGUUUUGUAGCAAUACACAAUUUGCAAGGUGCUGCAUGGCUGUCGU